rnacentral:rRNA from 1 species
AUUGAACGCUGGCGGCAGGCCUAACACAUGCAAGUCGAGCGGAUGACGGGAGCUUGCUCCUUGAUUCAGCGGCGGACGGGUGAGUAAUGCCUAGGAAUCUGCCUGGUAGUGGGGGUCAACGUUUCGAAAGGAACGCUAAUACCGCAUACGUCCUACGGGAGAAAGCAGGGGACCUUCGGGCCUUGCGCUAUCAGAUGAGCCUAGGUCGGAUUAGCUAGUAGGUGAGGUAAUGGCUCACCUAGGCGACGAUCCGUAACUGGUCUGAGAGGAUGAUCAGUCACACUGGAACUGAGACACGGUCCAGACUCCUACGGGAGGCAGCAGUGGGGAAUAUUGGACAAUGGGCGAAAGCCUGAUCCAGCCAUGCCGCGUGUGUGAAGAAGGUCUUCGGAUUGUAAAGCACUUUAAGUUGGGAGGAAGGGUUGUACGUUAAUACCGUGCAAUUUUGACGUUACCGACAGAAUAAGCACCGGCUAACUCUGUGCCAGCCGCCGCCGUAA